GAUGAACGCUGGCGGCGUGCCUAAUACAUGCAAGUCGAGCGAACGGACGAUAAGAGUGCUUCUCUAAGGGUAGCGGCGGACGGGCGGGUAAGACGUAGAUAAGCUUCCAAUAAUACGUGGAGAACUACGGGAAAACGGAGCUGCUAAUGGAGAAUAUUUUGAACGGGAGAGUGCAAAAGAAAAAGACGGUCUGCCUGUUACUUUGAGCUGAAUCCGCGCUGGAUUAGCUAGUUGGUAAGGUAACGGCUCACCAAGGCGACGAUGCGUAGCCGAUCUGAGAGGAUGAUCAGCCACACUGGAACUGAGACACGGUCCAGACUCCUACGGGAGGCAGCAGUGGGGAAUAUUGGACAAUGGGCGCAAGCCUGAUCCAGCCAUACCGCGUGAGUGAAGAAGGCCUUCGGGUUGUAAAGCCCUUUUGUUGGGAAAGAAAAGCAGCAGGUGAAUACCCCGCUGUUCUGACGGUACCCAAAGAAUAAGCACCGGCUAACUUCGUG
rnacentral:rRNA from 1 species